AUUGAACGCUGGCGGCAGGCCUAACACAUGCAAGUCGAGCGGAUGACGGGAGCUUGCUCCUUGAUUCAGCGGCGGACGGGUGAGUAAUGCCUAGGAAUCUGCCUGGUAGUGGGGGACAACGUUUCGAAAGGAACGCUAAUGCCGCAUACGUCCUACGGGAGAAAGCAGGGGACCUUCGGGCCUUGCGCUAUCAGAUGAGCCUAGGUCGGAUUAGCUAGUAGGUGAGGUAAUGGCUCACCUAGGCGACGAUCCGUAACUGGUCUGAGAGGAUGAUCAGUCACACUGGAACUGAGACACGGUCCAGACUCCUACGGGAGGCAGCAGUGGGGAAUAUUGGACAAUGGGCGAAAGCCUGAUCCAGCCAUGCCGCGUGUGUGAAGAAGGUCUUCGGAUUGUAAAGCACUUUAAGUUGGGAGGAAGGGCAGUAAGUUAAUACCUUGCUGUUUUGACGUUACCGACAGAAUAAGCACCGGCUAACUCUGUGCCAGCCGCCGCCGUAAUAC
rnacentral:rRNA from 1 species